AGUGAACGCUGGCGGUAGGCCUAACACAUGCAAGUCGAACGGCAGCACAGUAAGAGCUUGCUCUUACGGGUGGCGAGUGGCGGACGGGUGAGGAAUACAUCGGAAUCUACUUUUUCGUGGGGGAUAACGUAGGGAAACUUACGCUAAUACCGCAUACGACCUACGGGUGAAAGCAGGGGAUCUUCGGACCUUGCGCGAUUGAAUGAGCCGAUGUCGGAUUAGCUAGUUGGCAGGGUAAAGGCCCACCAAGGCGACGACCCGAAGCUGGUCUGAGAGGAUGAUCAGCCACACUGGAACUGAGACACGGUCCAGACUCCUACGGGAGGCAGCAGUGGGGAAUAUUGGACAAUGGGCGCAAGCCUGAUCCAGCCAUACCGCGUGGGUGAAGAAGGCCUUCGGGUUGUAAAGCCCUUUUGUUGGGAAAGAAAAGCAGCAGGUUAAUACCCCGCUGUUCUGACGGUACCCAAAGAAUAAGCACCGGCUAACUUCGUG
rnacentral:rRNA from 1 species